GGGGAUGUAGCUCAGCGGUAGAGCAUAUGCUUUGCAUGCAUGAGGCCCCAGGUUCAAAGCCUGGCAUCUGCA